AGAGUUUGAUCCUGGCUCAGGAUGAACGCUAGCGGCAGGCCUAAUACAUGCAAGCCGUACGGUAAGAUUUGCAGCAAUGCGGAUCCAAGAGUGGCGUAAGGGUGCGUAACACGUAUGCAAUCUGCCCUCAACAGGAGGAUAGCUCCCCGAAAGGGGAAUUAACCCUCCAUGAGAUCACACGAAGGCAUCUGAGAGUGAUUAAAACUAAGGUGGUUGAGGAUGAGCAUGCGUCUGAUUAGCUAGCUGGCAGUGUAACGGACUACCAAGGCGAUGAUCAGUAGGGGAACUGAGAGGUUGAUCCCCCACACUGGCACUGAGAUACGGGCCAGACUCCUACGGGAGGCAGCAGUAGGGAAUAUUGGACAAUGGGUGAGAGCCUGAUCCAGCCAUGCCGCGUGCAGGAAGAAGGCCUUCUGGGUUGUAAACUGCUUUUGCCGGGGGAUAAAAGACCCAUGCGUGGGAAAUUGAAGGUACCCGGUGAAUAAGCCACGGCUAACUACGUGCCAGCAGCCGCGGUAAUACGUAGGUGGCAAGCGUUGUCCGGAUUUAUUGGGUUUAAAGGGUGCGUAGGCGGUUUUUUAAGUCAGUUGUGAAAUACGGCAGCUUAACUGUCGAGGUGCAAUUGAUACUGGAGAACUUGAGUACAGACGAGGUAGGCGGAAUUGACGGUGUAGCGGUGAAAUGCAUAGAUAUCGUCAAGAACACCGAUAGCGAAGGCAGCUUACUAGACUGUAACUGACGCUGAUGCACGAAAGUGCGGGGAUCAAACAGGAUUAGAUACCCUAGUAGUCC
rnacentral:rRNA from 1 species